CUACUAGUUUCGCAAGCUCAAAGGAUAAAUCUCCGAAAGAAGAAGAUGUAGGGUACUACGGCGUAAUAAAAGACAUCAUUGAACUUUCAUUCGCUGUAGGUACAAAAAAUGUGGUUUUGUUCGAGUGUGAUUGGGCUAAUAUUCGCACGAAUAAGACGGAUGGUUUGGGAUUUACACUUGUGAACUUAACAAAACCAGAUAUAAAAACAAGUCCUUUUGUUAUGCCAUGUCAAGUAUUGCAAGCAUUCUACGUUGAGGAUCCGCAAGAUAAACUAUGGAUGGUUCCUAUUGUUAUUAAACCAAGGGACAACUUUGCCUUGAGUCCUGAUGAUCCUACUGCAGUUGAAGAUGAAUGCUAUGAGAUACUUCCUAUAAACCAUGACAUAAAUAUUAUAGAUGAUAUGGAAGAGUGAGGGAUUAUUUUGUUGAUCAAAUGUUAGUUGAUUGUAAUUUACUUGUAAUAUACUUUUGUUUAUGUGAUCAUUUUAUUUUUUUAUUAUAAUUUACUUGUUAUAUAAAUUAUGUCAUAUUUAUUGCCAUAUAUCAUGCAUGUCAUAAGUAUUGUGUUCAUUUUAUUUUUUUCUAUGUAUAUCUUAUUUCUUUUCUCAGGCGAGCGAUGUCGGAGGAAGAUAUUUAUGUUGAUCAUAUAGGUACCGAGUCUACAGGUACUGACGUGGUUGAUUUGGAGUUUGACGACAAGGGUAUUCCCGUUGCACCUGGGAGAAACUAUGUGAUCAAUUUCAUUCUAUUUCCACUCCUGGUGUUGAUGGGAAGUCCAAAUCAACCAAAUGC